rnacentral:rRNA from 1 species
AGAACGAACGCUGGCGGCAGGCUUAACACAUGCAAGUCGAGCGCCCCGCAAGGGGAGCGGCAGACGGGUGAGUAACGCGUGGGAACAUACCCUCCGGUUCGGAAUAGCUCAGGGAAACUUGGAUUAAUACCGCAUAAUACCCACGGGUCAAAGCAGCAAUGCGCUUGGAGAGGAGUUCGCGGCCGAUUAGCUAGUUGGCGGGGUAAUGGCCCACCAAGGCGAUGAUCGGUAU